rnacentral:rRNA from 1 species
CCUACGGGAGGCAGCAGUGGGGAAUAUUGCGCAAUGGGCGAAAGCCUGAUGCAGCGACGCCGCGUGAGGGAUGAAGGUCUUCGGAUCGUAAACCUCUGUCAGCAGGGAAGAACGGUCACUGUGCUAAUCAGCCGUGAAUUGACGGUACCUGCAAAGGAAGCACCGGCUAACUCCGUGCCAGCAGCCGCGGUAAUACGGAGGGUGCGAGCGUUAAUCGGAAUUACUGGGCGUAAAGCGCUCGUAGGCGGUAUGUCAAGUCAAGGGUGAAAUCCCCGCGCUCAACGUGGGAACUGCCUUUGAAACUGGCAAACUGGAGUGUGGGAGAGGAUAGUAGAAUUCCAGGUGUAGGGGUGAAAUGCGUAGAUAUCUGGAGGAACAUCAGUGGCGAAGGCGACUAUCUGGCAGAAGACUGACGCUGAGGAGCGAAAGCGUGGGUAGCAAACAGGAUUAGAUACCCUGGUAGUC